UUUAAAGGAGCUGAAAGCAGACCCUUAGCAAAUCUCUAUCAGUAAUCCUUGGCUUCAGGAUCAAUAUGGAGGUGCCCUCUUGAAGGUGCAAGAGAUGGACCUAUUGCCAAAUCUCUACAGUCAUGGAAGUGGCUCUCGAUUGCCUAUGAUAUUCAAAAUAAUAUAGAAGGUAUGGAUGUUCCUAGGGAUUCACAUCUGCAUGAGGAGGAAGAUAAAGAGACUGAUGUUAUCCAGAUUGUUUUAAGCAAUACGCGUCUACGCUCGGUAGGCAAUCAUGAUUGUUUAG
rnacentral:lncRNA from 1 species